rnacentral:rRNA from 1 species
CAAUAGCGUAUAUUUAAGUUGCUGCAGUUAAAAAGCUCGUAGUUGGAUUUCGGGUGGGAAUGGCCGGUCCGCCGAUUCGGUGUGCACUUGCUACGCCCACCUUGCUGCCGGGGACGUGCUCUUGAGUUCACGCUCGGGACACGGAGUCGGCGAGGUUACUUUGAGUAAAUUAGAGUGUUCAAAGCAGGCCUACGCUCUGAAUACAUUAGCAUGGAAUAACACGAUAGGACUCUGGCCUAUCUUGUUGGUCUGUAGGACCGGAGUAAUGAUUAAGAGGGACAGUCGGGGGCAUUCGUAUUUCAUUGUCAGAGGUGAAAUUCUUGGAUUUAUGAAAGACGAACUACUGCGAAAGCAUUUGCCAAGGAUGUUUUCAUUAA